ACUCCCUUAGUAUAAC
rnacentral:tRNA from 1 species